rnacentral:rRNA from 1 species
CGAGUUCUGAUUAUUGAAAGGUGCUUGCAUCUUGAUUUAAUUUUGAACGAGUGGCGGACGGGUGAGUAACACGUGGGUAACCUGCCCUUAAGUGGGGGAUAACAUUUGGAAACAGAUGCUAAUACCGCAUAAAUCCAAGAACCGCAUGGUUCUUGGCUGAAAGAUGGCGUAAGCUAUCGCUUUUGGAUGGACCCGCGGCGUAUUAGCUAGUUGGUGAGGUAACGGCUCACCAAGGCAAUGAUACGUAGCCGAACUGAGAGGUUGAUCGGCCACAUUGGGACUGAGACACGGCCCAAACUCCUACGGGAGGCAGCAGUAGGGAAUCUUCCACAAUGGACGCAAGUCUGAUGGAGCAACGCCGCGUGAGUGAAGAAGGCUUUCGGGUCGUAAAACUCUGUUGUUGGAGAAGAAUGGUCGGCAGAGUAACUGUUGUCGGCGUGACGGUAUCCAACCAGAAAGCCACGGCUAACUACGUGCCAGCAGCCGCGGUAAUACGUAGGUGGCAAGCGUUAUCCGGAUUUAUUGGGCGUAAAGCGAGCGCAGGCGGUUUUUUAAGUCUGAUGUGAAAGCCCUCGGCUUAACCGAGGAAGUGCAUCGGAAACUGGGAAACUUGAGUGCAGAAGAGGACAGUGGAACUCCAUGUGUAGCGGUGAAAUGCGUAGAUAUAUGGAAGAACACCAGUGGCGAAGGCGGCUGUCUGGUCUGUAACUGACGCUGAGGCUCGAAAGCAUGGGUAGCGAACAGGAUUAGAUACCCUGGUAGUCCAUGCCGUAAACGAUGAAUGCUAGGUGUUGGAGGGUUUCCGCCCUUCAGUGCCGCAGCUAACGCAUUAAGCAUUCCGCCUGGGGAGUACGACCGCAAGGUUGAAACUCAAAGGAAUUGACGGGGGCCCGCACAAGCGGUGGAGCAUGUGGUUUAAUUCGAAGCAACGCGAAGAACCUUACCAGGUCUUGACAUCUUUUGAUCACCUGAGAGAUCAGGUUUCCCCUUCGGGGGCAAAAUGACAGGUGGUGCAUGGUUGUCGUCAGCUCGUGUCGUGAGAUGUUGGGUUAAGUCCCGCAACGAGCGCAACCCUUAUGACUAGUUGCCAGCAUUUAGUUGGGCACUCUAGUAAGACUGCCGGUGACAAACCGGAGGAAGGUGGGGAUGACGUCAAAUCAUCAUGCCCCUUAUGACCUGGGCUACACACGUGCUACAAUGGAUGGUACAACGAGUUGCGAGACCGCGAGGUCAAGCUAAUCUCUUAAAGCCAUUCUCAGUUCGGACUGUAGGCUGCAACUCGCCUACACGAAGUCGGAAUCGCUAGUAAUCGCGGAUCAGCACGCCGCGGUGAAUACGUUCCCGGGCCUUGUACACACCGCCCGUCACACCAUGAGAGUUUGUAACACCCGAAGCCGGUGGCGUAACCCUU